rnacentral:lncRNA from 1 species
UGCUUCCCAAAAUUCAUAUGUUGACACCUUAACACUCAGCACCUAAGGAUGUGACUAUAUUUGGAGAUAGUGUCAUCACAGAGAGGAGAUAAGGAUACAGAUGUGCACACAGAGAAACAGCCAUGUGAGGACACAAGGAGAAGGCAGCCACUUACAACCCCAGGAGAGAGGCCUUGGAAGAAACCCACCUUGCCCACACCUUGAUCUUGGACUUCACCCUCCUUCAUCAAUUGGAAGCUGCUGAUCCUGAAUACUUUCCAAAUGCUGGAUGGUACAGAGGUGAGGGGACAGCACAGACCUCAGGGUGAAAUGUUGGGGAUAGAAAACAUUGCUGUUUUCUAUCCCCAACAGACACCUGUGCCAGUCUUUAUUGGUGUUUUGUAUUCCCCUUUCCUGUGGAUAGUGUAAUUUUAAAAUUUUUGUUUACAUAGAAGAUAACAUAAAAGUAAACAAUAAAAUUUAAAAAAAGAGGAAAACUCAAAUAAUAGUGUUUGGGGAGGGUGACAGUGAAGGUGGGAGGGUCACAUAACAAUGGAGGUGGAGUCUUUUGACUCCAUCAAUGUCCUGUUGUGUUUGUGUAUCAGAACCUAUAGUAGCAAUUGUCAGGUUACGUGUUUUUGUCCUUGCCUGCUCCUUAAGUGCCAGAGGGGAUUAUUCUAAAUUGGGUGAGGAACAGGUAGAGAAGUGUAAGUGAGACAAACUUGCCUGCCAUUUGCCACAGUGGCAGGGCAGAAUUCAUCAUGAGUGCCUCUACCCUCUGAUGUCCAAAAAGUUUAACUCUGUAGGUAAUUUUUAUUGGCUGCCAAUUUAGAAGCAUCUGCCUUCAUGCUCCUGUCUAGAAUGGUAACAUCUCUCUGCCAGGAGCUGAUAAAAUCCCCAAUAUCCCAUAGUCCUGUUUUCCAGUUAAGAUUCACGGGGACUAUGUGGGCAGAUUUACAUAGUUCACUUCUUCCAGCAGCCAAGGAAUACUUGAUAUUGUUUUCAUUUGAACCCUCUGAGAGAGGGAGUCAGCCUCCACAUAGAGGUGCCCCUUAAAGUUUUUGAAACAUAGUCUUCCUGACACCACUACUUACACUGAUUUGAAAGUCAUUGAUGAGCUUGCUUUGAAGCUCCUGUAAAACUUAAUCCUGACACAUCAAGGGCUUGGGACUUCCCAGCUUGAUAUUCCAAUUCUGAAGUGAGUAAAUUUGAGUUCUCCAAGACAUCAGAAUGCCACAUAGAAUAUAACAUAUUUUAAAGGAAAAUUGGACUGUCACAGGAACUUCUUAGCUGUAAUAGAAAAAUUAGGUUCUUUGGUGAAAACUUUAUGCUCCUUGAUAUGGUUUGGUUGUGUUUCCACCCAAAUCUCAUCUUGAGUUUUAGCUCCUGUAAUUCCCAAGUUUUGUGGGAGGGGUCAGUAGGAGAUAAUUGAAUCAUGGGGUCACAUUUCCCUAUAGUGUUCUGGUGGUAAUAAAUAAGUCUCACGAGAUCUGAUGGUUUUAUAAGGAGAAACCAUUUUUUACUUUACUUUACUCUCAUUCUCUCUUCUUUUGUCUGCCACCAUGUGAGACAUGCAUUUCAUCUUCUGCCAUAAUUGUAAGGCCUCUCCAGCACGUAAAACUGUAGGUCCUUUAAAACUCUUUCUUUUGCAAAUUGCCCAGUCUCAGGUAUGUCUUUAUUAGCAGGAUUAAAAUGAACUAAUAGAUCCCACUCCACUGUUUAAAGCAAAACUCCUGGCUUUAUGGGGUCUUCAAUUUACUGAAUGUUUUCUAGAUGCUUGCCCCUAAUUCCCUGAUGAGUCAAGAAAUCUGCCACCUUAAGGUGCUUACUGGGUGGCUGUGGAUGUCUAACCUCAGUGCCAGCCACACAGAACCUGAAGCAGGGGUGGUUGCUCCUCUUAAUGGUAAGAGCUCAGGGUUUCGGAUCAUUGGCCAUGUUCUAACUGUUUAAUCUUCCACAUUGAAACUAAAGGCUAUUUGGUAAAGGACAUCCUUUAUUUGGCUUCAAAUCAGAAAGAAUUUUAGCUGCUGAUUUGUCAGGUAAUUCAUUUAGGAGUUCGUGGAAAGUGUCUCUUCUCUGAAAAUACUAACCACAAUUAAGCCAGAAACCAAGCCUGAAUCCAUGCGUAAUGCAGAGGUCACCACUGCAUGCCAGACCUGUGCUUCUUACUGAAAGUUGACCUGUUUGUCUCAUGGUUUAGAAGGUGACAGACCAUUCCUGGCAUGAUAAUUGCAUUGGUCUUUGGCUCACUUCCUGAGGUAUUGAUCAUGUCUCACCUUUAGCAUAAUAGUCAGCUGACUCCAGCCACACCGUGUGUCCCUUGAAGCUCAUUCAUGUAACCUUUAGGGUUUUGAGGCCACUUGCAUUUUAAUCAAAUUAUUAUAUCUGUCAACAUGGCAAACUGUUUGAUUUUACUUCCUUUUUUUCUCUGGGUCCACACAUGUUGGCUAGGUAAUUUGUUGAUUGAAUGUAACUUUUCCCUUAGCACCCAAAAAUCUUUUUCUUGACUGACUCCAAGCUGAAGAGAAUAUCACUGAGGUCUAUAGGCAUCCAUUUUCAAAUGAGAUUUCCCACCGAGCAUUCCUGGACAAGAUGUAUCUUUCAUUUAGUUAACUGCAACCCCAGGCAAAUCUGGUUUUUACAUUUUCUGAAUGACCGUCCAGCCCAAAGAGGGGUUGUGGUGCUCAACUUAGUUAUAGUGAAUUUUUAUAUAGAAGUUCUUGUGUCUAUAUCACCUCACUCUACCAGAAAAAAAUGAAAUGACUAGAAAACAGUAUGGGUGAGUAGACUAGAAAAAAAUGACUACUUAAAGUUAUAGGUACUGGAAUAGGACACAAAAAUUAUGUGGAUGUAGAGGGAGGACAAAAACCCAAAACCUAAAAAUGAACAAAUUAGAUGCCAGAAACUACAGAAACAGAGGGUCUUUAAUAACUUUUUGUCUUUCUGAACUAUCCCUAGUGAGGCCCAGAGAAGAGUUGGCGAAUCCUGUUGGGCUAGGAGGAGGAAUAGGAGUAGUAUUAGUUAGACCAAAUGGUAGAACAGGACCUGUGGGUUCAGCUUCUCCUGGGAAUUCCAUCUCUCUGUGAUGUAGACCUGGAAUCCCAGUGAACAUCCUGCAUCCUCAGUGGCCAGCUGUCUGAGGCCACAGUUGUUUCUGAUGAUCGAGGACAAGGAGACUUACCACCCCAUGGCUGAGGCAUUCACAAAAAAAUUAGCUCACAUUAUGUUUUGCUUGUUUGCAAGUCAACAAGAAGAGGUCACUGAGGAUGUCUAACUGAUUCUGUCCACUCAGGAAUGUUUUGGUCUACCCUUUAAUUCACUUUAAAAAUCAUUUUGUAAUUUUUAUCUCCCAUCCAAUAUGUAAGUUGUCAAUUACUUUUAUAUGUAUGCAAACAUCCUUUAUGUAUAAUUUCUAGGCAUAUUACUAGUGAACAUUGAUUGUUACACAGA